GAACGAUCGGAGUAAAGUCCUUGUAUGAAAAACUUUUUCAUUUGACGAGGUAUCUUUCCGAAAUUUGGCAUGUAUUAUUAUUUAAGGUAACAACAUAAUUCCCGAAGAAAUUGUUUUGAUCGGAUCGCUAUGUCAUACAGCUAUCAUAUAAACUUAACGAUUAGUGCCUGCUUGCGGUAAAGUGCCUGCUUGGAAAAAAAUUUUAUUUUUUAUUGCCGAUUCACAAAAUUAGAUCUGAAUGAAGUUAUUAUAAGGAACCUUUGUACCUGUGAAGGGUAUUAUAGCUUCGGUGCAACCGAAGUUACCGUUUUUUCUUGUUUUAAUAUUAAAUAAUAAUUAUUUGAGUUUAUAAGUAAUAAGAAAUUAAUGGUAGAAGUGAUAAAAAUCCGAAGAAGUACUUAAAUUCUACUUGCUAUUACCAAAAAAGUAAACGGACUAGGCUAACAUGAUCGGUCAGCUUGAACGAAAUACAGUGAUCCGAUCCGAACAAUUUGUUUGAAGAUUGUUGUGUUGUCUUGGUCCAGCCAAAUUGUGUGAAGAUAUCCUGUCAAAUAAAAAGUUUUCACGCAGGGGCUUGUUUUUAAUAGGUCAGUUUGUAUGACAUCUAUUUGCUAAAGUAGUCCGAUCUGAACAAUUUACAAAGGGGUCAUUGACCCCAUAAAAUGUAAACAGAAGGGUCAUUGACCUAGCUGUAAGCAAAGGUUGUUGACUUCGAUAAAUGUAAACAAAAGGGUCAUUCACCCCAUGAAACGUAAACAAUGGGUUAAUUGACCCCUUAAAUUAUUGAAAAAGUUGAAAACAUUCUUUUUUUCCAAGAAACUGCUAAUUACUUGGUUCCGAUAUCGGACCACUAUAAGAUAUAGCUGCCAUACAAAGUGAUCGCUUAAAUCAAGCCAUUGUUUGGAACCGGUAGAAAGAGUGAAUAUUAAAAUUUAACAAUGGAAGUCUGAGAGAAAGUAUUCCAAAUUUUUAUUGGACUGUUAAUCGCAUGAUCCACAAUAUUGCCUUCCCCACAAGAGAGGAGUGGAAAAGGGACGAGGUGGACAGGAAUACAGGAAUUAGCAUCUACACGGAUGGAUCCAAACUGGAUAAUCGAGUGGGAGGUGGUGUCUUUUGCGCAACAUUGGACACCAACAUCGCCUACCGUUUACCAGACCACUGCAGUGUCUUCCAGGCGGAGAUCACAGCAAUUAAUGAAAGCCUUGUGGUAUUGACAAAAAGUGUGCUCACAACAAGGAGCAUGUAUAUAUAUACGGAUAGCCAAGCGGCCUUGAAAUCACUCAAGUCUCCAAUGGUGUCAUCCAAGCUAGUGAAAGGUUGUCUUGACCUAUUAGAGGAUCUGACAUCUUACUUCACAAUAAACCUGCAAUGGGUUCCAGGACAUAGUGAUAUUCCUGGUAACUGCGAAGCAGAUACACUAGCCAGAACAGGCACCACUUUGCAACUAACCCCUGAAAAAGAGGGUAUUUUAUGCCUCUGGCAACUUGCGAACACUUAAUCAGCGAACAUGCUAUAAAUAUAGCUGAGUCUCGCUGGAGACAAUCAAUAACCUGCUCAACCAGCAGAUUAACGUGGCAGGAAUGGAGCGUGAGUCGCAGAAACCAACUACUAAAAUUUAAAAGGAAUGAUAUAAGAACUCUGAUAGGAGUACUAACAGGUCACUGUCUAAUUGGUAGACAUGCCAGUAGGCUAGGUGUACCAUACAACGACUAUUGUAGAAGCUGUCAAAAAGUAGAAGAAGAGGAGACUGUAAAGCAUCUUUUAUGCGAAUGUAAAGUUCUAUAUAGGAAAAGAAUCGCAACUAUCGGUCGUGGAUUUCUUGACGACGUAUCAGAAGUUGCUAAUAUAAAAUUAUUUGUACUGAUAAACUUCAUCAGGAGCACAGGUUGGUUCAGAGAGGAGACGAUAGAGUGAGGGAACAUUAGUCCCGGUGGUAUCACAAUGGGCCUCCUAUAGGCCUAGGUGCGUCGUAGGACAGCCACUCUACCUACCUACCUAAUCGCAUGAUACUUAGAGACUUACUAAUCUAAAAAAAUUAAAUACUUUCAAUAGACGAAAUAAUAAAAGUAUGGUAUUUUACUUACCACGGUGUAAAUGAAGUUUGGUAUCUACUCUGGGUACCCAGUUACAGUUUACCUAUCAUAAUCAAUUACCACUCAUACGUCCACGUCAAGAACCCCUGGCAACUUGAGCAAUCCGGAGCGAGAUACGGUAACUAACACGUGAGGAGCUCAGGAUCACGGCUAAGAGAGAGGAAGUUUUGGUGGGGAUAUUCCGACUUAAUCGGUUUAAGGGCUCACCAAGGUCUGCAGCGGCUGUGCAUUGGGAGAUACAGCUGCAAGCGGACGUAGUGAAAAAUUUUACUUCCUAACCGGGGCAGGGGGCUGAGCUUGGGGCCCGCCAUGCAAAAACAGCACCCAAUGCAACGACCAUUAAAGUCUCGAAAUGAACAAAGGACCAUGAGCUAAGGGUGAUCUUGGACUACCCGGACCCUCUAUAGUGAAGGUGCCUCUGCCAAACUAGAGGAUGUCCUGGAGAAGUAUAAGGCUGAGAUCACCGCCAUCCAGGAAAUUCAGUGUACUGUAGUAGUAUAAGACAUUACUACAGCUGUCAUGCAAAGGAGCACAAAUAUGGUGUUGGUUUCGUGGUGAGGCGGAGAUUUCGCCAACUCGUCUGCGGAUUCACUCUUGUAAACUAGCGAGUCUCUACGAUCCCCAUCAAGGCCAAGGUUCACAACAUCAGCCUAAAUUGUGCAUUUGUCCUAACAACUAGACCAAAGAUGACUUUUGCACUCGAACACGAAUACGAACGCUGCCCCCGCUGCUAUAUAAAAUACGUGUUGGUGACUUCCACGCUAGGAAAGUAUGUUUGUGGUGCCAACAUCUAUUCGGACCACUACUUCGGGCCAAGGUUCCACAAAAACACACAGACAAGGAUUUUGCAACUCCACUCUUACUCCUGCUAUCUACCAGCACUUUUCAACUCGAUGAUGUAUGCACGUAGUGGAUGAAAGAGAAGUCAUAGGCCAUCCCAAUCAAAGUCAAAUUGACUGGUAAGAUGACGAAUAUCGCGUCGCCACUGUAGAAAAGUACGCAGCUUACAGUACUGCAGUUACUGAGUACCGCAGCGACGCGAACUAUUGAUAACUAUAUCGUGAGGAGGGAAGAGAGUUUCCAAACGGAGUAAGAGAGGCAGAAAUAUGUAAGUGCGAGGAGCUUCAAGUAGAACACGAGGGAUCAGUUUUCUGAAUAUCGCAUUUCAUAUGUGCUUUAAUUGUAAGCGAUUUUUUUCAAUUCAGUUAAUUAUAUUGUAAAUUAUUGAAGUUUCAGAUAACUUUUUAGAUGGCUUUAUAUCAAAAUACAUACAUACAAACAACCGUUAGGUGAAUAAAACGUGUAUACUAUAUAGCUUCAUUUUGCGAUAGUAUUACAAUGUAUGUAUAAUAAACAAAAUAUUGAGAUAAACUAUUUGAUUAUUUCAAUAACAAUUGUAUGAAGAAUUGCGAGGGAUUUUGGUAAUUUUUAAACAGUUUUGAGUUGUUUCAUUACCGAAACAAUUCUCUAACAAUUUAUUAAUUUAAAAGUACAUAUAUACAUCUCUUAUUCAAUUAUUUUUAUGUUGAAUCAAUGUUACUAUUAAUUUUCCAUAUAUGGUAUGUAUGUGUAGAUUUAUUUUCUUGUACAAAAUUUACUUAUAACUAUAUCAACUAUAUAUAUUAUCGUAAGCAUAUUGUAUAAUUUACGAGUAAAUAUUUUCCUCUUUAUUCCUUUAAUUCCGCUGUACACUUAUUGCUGUGCGUGCGCUCGUUUUAAAUACUCCAUGCAAUGCUGCCAAAAUAUAUGUAUUGUAUGUACUAACAAAUUAAUAUUAAACAAUAAUAAAAGGAUCGCGAAUUUGUUGAGCUUGAAAUACCGUACAACGGUCAACCGAAGCGUACUGGUUCUCCAUCGCCAAUGGCUAGUCCUGCCCAUUCAACAAAUAGUGCCGUUGGCUUAAUGCACUCAUGUUGCGGCCGUUGCUGUUCUCAACGUUAUCAGGCUUGCGGAAAGUAUAUGCCGGCCUCGGGCAAUGCUCAAAACAAUGAAAACAACCAGCCAAUGGACGGUACAUACCUGGUGGAGGCUUCAUUUUAAUGCGUAAUGUUCUUAUUUACCAAAAGUUGCAAGAUAAAUUUACUUAUUCAUAAAAUAUUAGAUAUUGAGAAUAUCACUUACAUAAAUAUUCUAGUUGUAAAUAUUACUUUGUAGCUUAUCGAAAUUGAGAAAACUGUAUCUCAAAACUAUGUUUUUAUUUUAGCACAUCUAUAUGAUAUGAUAUUUAUCAUUCAAACACAGUUGGUAAUAAUUGUUUGCCAUUAUUUUGUAUAAUAAAACUCCUCGAAAACUAAAUAAGGGUUUUAGUAUAUGCAAAGGAUACAGUGGGGACAAAUCUCUCUAAAAAGUUUGAUAUACCUAUAUAUUUAUUUGCUCGCCAAAGUGUGUCUCUAUAUUACCAAACACUAUAAAUGACUUAAAGUAAAAGAUUGAAGGAAAGAAGAAAAACUUGACUUUGACUUGACAAUUAAAAUACGAAAAUAAUACGACAUAUUGUUGAUAUAUUUCUCAUGCGAGACGGGGUGAAAUUCUAUUUUUGUUAUUUGAAUGUUAGGAAGGAAAAUCGUGAACGUUUUAGUUAUUUCUACAAAUAGACUCACGACUAGGACUUGAUCUAAUGUAAUAAUUCUAGCACUUGAAUCUCAAUGUUAUGCCGGAAAAGAGGCACUCAAAAGAAUUACAUUAGAUGGAUAAACGCUAGCUCUGCAGGAAAAUGUCUAUAUAUGGAAAAGCAAAGACGAAUCCAAAAAGCUGGAAAAAUUUCGUAAGUCAGAAGGAAGUAAGUAAGAAGAA